UACGUAGGGUGCGAGCGUUAAUCGGAAUUACUGGGCGUAAAGCGUGCGCAGGCGGUUAUAUAAGACAGAGGUGAAAUCCCCGGGCUCAACCUGGGAACUGCCUUUGUGACUGUAUAGCUUGAGUGCGGCAGAGGGGGAUGGAAUUCCCGGUGUAGCAGUGAAAUGCGUAGAUAUCGGGAGGAAUACCGAUGGCGAAGGCAGGUCUCUGGGCUGACACUGACGCUCAUGCACGAAAGCGUGGGGAGCAAACAGG
rnacentral:rRNA from 1 species